GCUUAGAAGUGAGAAUGCCGGUGUGAGUAGCGAAAGACGGGUGAGAAUCCCGUCCACCGAUUGACUAAGGUUUCCAGAGGAAGGCUCGUCCGCUCUGGGUUAGUCGGGUCCUAAGCUGAGGCCGACAGGCGUAGGCGAUGGAUAACAGGUUGAUAUUCCUGUACCACCUAUAAUCGUUUUAAUCGAUGGGGGGACGCAGUAGGAU
rnacentral:rRNA from 1 species